GGGGAACCAGGACUUUUACUUUGAAAAAAUUAGAGUGCUCAAAGCAGGCCUAUGCUCGAAUACAUUAGCAUGGAAUAAUAGAAUAGGACGUGCGGUUCUAUUUUGUUGGUUUCUAGGACCGCCGUAAUGAUUAAUAGGGACAGUCGGGGGCAUCAGUAUUCAAUUGUCAGAGGUGAAAUUCUUGGAUCUAUUGAAGACUAACUACUGCGAAAGCAUUUGCCAAGGAUGUUUUCAUUAAUCAGGAACGAAAGUUAGGGGAUCGAAGACGAUCAGAUACCGUCGUAGUCUUAACCAUAAACUAUGCCGACUAGGGAUCGGACGAUGUUAUUUUUUGACUCGUUCGGCACCUUACACGAAAGUACAAGUUUCUGGGUUCUGGGGGGAGUAUGGUCGCAAGGCUGAAACUUAAAGAAAUUGACGGAAGGGCACCACCAGGAGUGGAGCCUGCGGCUUAAUUUGACUCAACACGGGGAAACUCACCAGGUCCAGACACGAUGAGGAUUGACAGAUUGAGAGCUCUUUCUUGAUUUCGUGGGUGGUGGUGCAUGGCCGUUCUUAGUUGGUGGAGUGAUUUGUCUGCUUAAUUGCGAUAACGAACGAGACCU
rnacentral:rRNA from 1 species